GAGACAGUCUUGCUUUGUCUCCCAGGUUGGUGUGCAGGGGUGUGAUCUCGGCUCACUGCAACCUCCAUUUCCCAGAUUCAAGCGAUUCUCGUGCCUCAGCCUUUCAAGUAGCUGGGAUUACAGGUGCACACCACCACACCCAGCUAAUAGUAUUUUUGAUAGAGAGGGGGUUUCGCAAUGUUGGCCAGGCUGGUCUUGAACUCCCGACUUCAAGCUAUCCACCUGCCUCGGCCUCCCAAAGUGCUGGGAUUACAGGCGUGAGCUACUUCACCCAGCCCCAAGAACAUCUUGAAAUGGAGUUUGAUUACCAAAGUUUACAUAGAGUAAUGGAUAAUUAAAAUUUUCAAUUUAUGGUGCAUUACAAAAUGUUAUAAACAAGCCUCCGGGAAAGGCAGAAAUUGCCAGAUGAUCUCGCUCUGUUGCCCAGGCUAGAGUGCAGUGGCACCAUCAUAGCUCACUGCAGCCUUUCGACCUCCUGGACUCAGCUGAUCCUCCUGCCCCAGCCUCUCUAGUAGCUGAGACCACAAACGAGCGCCACCAUGCCCAGGGGCACAUACCGAAAUAUUUGCAGAUGAGGAUGAUGUGAUUCUGGUGGGCAGCCAAUGAGUGGGGAUACAGAGGAAGCAAGUUUGACCCUGAAUUGAUAAUCACUGGAGCAGAAUGACGGGGACACAGAGGAUGACCACAAUUUCCAGUUCCUCUUUGGGCAGCUGGGCUUUGGAGAUCUCCCAGAAAGGACUCUGUUGGUUAAUUUCAUGGCUAAUGAUCAGCGGUGACACCAGAAACAGACGGUCAUCCCCCGUGUAAUACCCUACGUUGAUAUCCGUCUGGUUCAACGGGAUGAACUCCCCCUCCGAGGUCUGUUUGGAUUUGAUCAACUUGGCUCUGAUGGAAGCCUCCACAAUGUGGGAAUUCCUAAGGUCCCCUACCCGGAACAUCAGGCACAGUUUCCCAUCCCGCAUGGAGAUCACUGCAUGGGUGGAAAAGACCAGGGUCUCUGCCCUCUUCUUGGGUUGAGAGAUUUUUACAAACAUGCAUCCCACCAUGAAUGCAUUGACAAUGGACCCCAACACAGAUUGGAUUAAGAGAAGAAUAAUUCCCUCUGGGCAUUUAUCUGUGAUGACCCGGUAGCCAUAACCAAUGGUGGUUUCUGUCUCUAUUGAGAAUAAAAAAGCAGAGACGAACCCGUUGAGGUUGGUAACACAAGGAGUCCAGGAGGGGUCCUCUAUGUGGUCCAUGUCUCCCCGUAUGUAUGCGAUCAACCACCAGAUCAUUCCAAAAAAGAGCCAGGUCACUGUGUAAACCAUGACAAAAAUCAAUAGGUUGAAUCUCCACUUCAGGUCCACUAAUGUGGUGAAGAUAUCGGUCAGGUAGCGAUAGGUCUCCCUCACGUUGCCGUGAUGAACAUUGCACUUUCCGUCUUUCCUCACGUACCUCUGGAUUUUCCUUUUGGUCCGAUCUCGGCUGAUGUGUCUUGGCAGGUCAUCCCUGGCCUGCUUAGGCAACUUUGGCUGGUGAAUGGCCACUGGGCUUUCGACGUCCUGAUCCAUGGAGUCGCCCUCCAGGACGUUAGCUGGUGGUUUGGAGAAAAGAAAAGAAACACUGAAUGAAAGGCUGGCUCUUUGAGGACAAUGGAACGGCACACUUUGUAUGGGCUGGUGAAACCAAAUACCAUUUGUGUAGCUAUAAACAAAGUAGACAAAGCCAUUUUUAUUCCACACCAUCUGGAUAGGCCUCUAGUUGACUUGGACUUCUGUGCUCUUCGAUCUAGUUUGUGUAAGUACUUCACCAUCCUGCCCACCAGGACGGAGCUUAUUGCUGCAAAAUUGUGUCCCUGCCAGCAGGUUCUACUGAGUCAGCUCUCACAGAGGGAUGCCUCCCAACUCUGAGAUGCUGUGGCAUGGGAGAGGCAGUAAGCUCUGAUGAAGGAGUCCUCUUUAGAUUCAGACAGGCUUAGCUCUACUACUUAGCAACUCUUAGUGGGCUCUUGGCCAUGAUAUCUGUUAUGGACUGUAUUGUGUCCUCACCAAAUCCAUAUGGGGCUUGAGCCCCAACCCCUAAGGUGACAGUAUUGGGAGAUAAGGCCUUUAAGGAGAUAGUUAAAGGUUAUAUGAGGCCAUAGGGUUGGGGCUCCAAUCUAAUAGGACUGGUAUCCUUAUGCGAAGAGGGAGAGACACCAGGGGUGCACACAAACAGAGGAAAAGCCAUAUGAGACACAGGGAGAAGGUGGCCAUCUGCAAACCAAGGAGAGAGGGCUCCCAGAAACUAACCCUGCCAACACCUUGAUCUUGAACUCCAGCCUCCAGAACGAUGAGAAAAUAAAUGUCCAUUGUUUAAGCCACCCAUUCUGUGAUAUUUUAUUAUGGCAGCCUGAACUGACUUACAACACACUAUCCAAAUUCGUGAGCCUCAGUUUCCUCAUUUACAAAAUUGAUCAUGAUACCCAACUCACAGUGUUGUUAUAAGGUUAAACAAAACCAUGUAUGUGAUCUGUGCCUGCAUGUAACAGACUUGCAAUCAAUAUUUUUUUGUAAUAAAUUGUUCCCUUGUCACUUUCCUUAUGUUUAGGGCAAGAGUCUUGAACAAGCUCUUUGAACUAUUGGCCAAAUUUCAGGGUUUAAAAAACAUUUCUGGUUUUUGUCGCCUCAGGAAGAGACAGCAUCUGUUCUGCAGAGCCUACUCUCUAGUCUGACAGCUUUGACUUUUAGAUGAUCUCCCUCAGUAGUCCUUCAUUGAAAAUAAGAAAAGUCAUUCAUUUGAAGAGCUUACAAAGAGCUACGAUGCUAUAGCUCCAGACUGAAAAAUGGUGGGAUUUUGCCAUCAUAUUGAUUCCUGCGAUCUUGGAUUUAUAACCAGUUACUAGUUAGUGAUGCCUCUGGAUGAACACAUGAAGAAAGUGAGGCCCAGGGAAGCCAACAGAUUUGCCAGGAGGCAGAGCUGGAGUGAGCUCCCAGACCUUGGGAUCCUAGGCUGUCCGUUCCUCCUUCUGUGUUUCCCUGAAGCAGUGGCUGCUUCAGGCUAUUGUCUUGCCCAGGGACUGUGGAGUUGGUGGUUUCCUUCUGAGAGCAAGAAGAAAUCUAUUGCUCCUGAUUCUUCCAGUGUGGAGCUUGGAGACAGCCAGUCCUGGGGAAUCCCAGCUCUGCUGCCCACCAGCCAAGGGACCCGCAGCCUUAAGUCUUCAUAUGCAAAAUAGGGUGAAAUGUCCACCUUGCUGGGUUGCUGGGAGAAUGAAAUGACAUAAUGAACUUUGGGAGCCUGGUGACAAGGUGCUUGGCUAUAGUGCCUGGUGGGCCUGGGUUGGAAUCCAGUUCUCCCAACUCCAAUCUGCAAGUAUUUGUUCAGGCCACUUCUGCCUCAGAGUCUGUUUCCUCAACUGCAUAAUGAAAAUAAUAAGACCUACCUUGAAGAGUUACUGUGAGAAAGAAAAAAAUCCUGCAAGGAUGGCACCUGGUCCACAGCAGCCAUUGAACAAAUGACAGCAAUUAUGAUAGUGUCUGGGUCGAAGAAGGUACACAAUUUGUAACUACAAUAAUCACUAUUUUUAUAAGCUCAACAUUGUCCUGGAAACUGUGGGAAAUCCAGAAAUAAUCUAAGAAACAGAUGGGCAGACCCAUCUGGAAGCUAAGAGCCUGCUUGGUAACACAAAACCUGCAUAGUGCCCCAUAUCAAUGUGCAGUUGCAUUCUACACUGUGGACAAGAGGCCAAGAAUGUUCUAGUGCAUCAGAGACAGAGGCCAACGGUGGCUGGACUAAUUGGCAAAGGCAUCACAAAGGAGGGAAAAGUAGAAAUCUGCACUCUUGUCUCGACUUUGCCUUGCCUGCAGAACUCAACAUUUGCGAAUGAUGUGUCCUUGAGAAGUCAUGUUUUACCCAGUUUUGCAAACUUUUGGCUCAUAUCAUAAAUUCAAAGAUGCUGGUGCUCCCAGUCUUAGUGCUAACAUUUCUAUUUAUACCCCUUUCCCUGAGCCCCAAGAAAUGUUCUUUAAACAUAUUCUCAGCUGGACCAGAAGAGAUUUGGUUUGUGUGUUUGUUUUUAAUGGGCCCUGCAUUGACUUGGAUAAUGCUGUUGAAAACACAGUAAGAUGGAUUAAGUGCUGGAUAAUUCUCCUUCUAGCACCAAUACUCCCUAAUAACUUUUUGAUACAUACAAACAAAAACAUCCUCUUUAAUCUGCAAAUUCCUCUUUGGAUGGGCUGAAGGGUAAGGUUAUCUGGAAAAAAUGAGUAACUUCGGCAGAGAGAAUCCUGUGUCAGUCACCAGAGGAGAAGAGAGAAAGCUGCUUGUCUCUUGCAGACCUGUGCUGGCCAAUACAGCAGCUACCAGCCUGAAAUUUGCCUGGUCUGAAUAGAGAUGUGCAGUAAGUGUUAAACACACAGGGGAUUUUUGAAGAGUAAUAAUGUAAAAGUAAACUAUCCCAUUAAUAAUUGUCAUACCAAUUACAUGUUGAGCUUUUAAUAUCUGGAUAUAGUGGGUGAAAUAAAAUAUAUCAUUAUUUUAAUUUCACCUAUUUCUUUUUUCCUUUCAAAGGUUCAUAUUAUAGAAUUUAAGAUUAUGCAGGUGGCUGGCAUUAUAUUUCCACUGGGCAGGGCUGUUACAGAACAUCCAGUACUGAGGAACGCCAGCUCUUAGCAUGUUGGGAAUAAAAUUGAUGCAAAAGGCAGUCCCUUGGUUGGCUUAAGUCAGAAGAAAAGGGCUGCUUAUUAGGGGGGUUUAACCUUUUGAUGUGGAAGGAGCUGAGGGCUCUGUAAUUGGGAAAAAAUUAAUAAGAGUUCAUAAUGUGAUAUAAUAAGGGGUAUUGAACACAACUAAUCAAAAAAUGGUUGGGGAAUUGCUGAUAAACGUGUGUAAAUAUGUUCCCUCCUAGUUUGGGAGCUGUGGCUACUUUAGCCCGCUGGUUCAAUUGUUUUUCAUUUUUUUGAGUGCUAUGCAAGCUCGUGUCAGCUUUCUGCACACCACUAAUAACCCAAUUUGUGCCUGAUUGGAGAAGCUUGACAUUGACAGUAUCUUAUGUUGAUGCCAUGCAUGAUGGGGUGAGGAGGGAGAGAGGGAGAAAAGCUCCUGGAAAAACGGGCAUUUACAAAUGGGAAAAGUGAACUGGGAGAGGGCAGUGUACCAUUGGCUUGGGUAAAUAUUCAUUUUAUUUAUUUAUUUAAAAAUUUUGGUUCAUGAACAAUUCUUUAGGUUUGAAAAAAAAAAAGAUCAGGUGUUGUUAUCCAGGGCUGAAGAAAUGAAUCAUGGUCCCAGCUUUGAAGCACCUGUGGCAACAUUGCCAGUCUCCCUGUUCUUUCCUGCUAAGCCCAUGACUCCAGUGUGGCUUGUGGAGGAAGCUCACUGGGACUAUUUUAAAACGUGUGCCCAAGGAAGUGCAAAUGCUGUGCCCAGCACUACUACAAACCAGUAGCUCUUGUAAACCAAAAACAAAAUUUGAACGCCCCCCAACCAUCUGAGUGGACUUCUUCCUUGGCCAGGGCUCUCCUAAAAUUUAACCUGAGAGACUGGUUCAGGCCAUUAUGGUAAGUGGGGAUUGGACACGCCUUAUUAUACCUCUCUGGCAUUAACAUCAACACAGACCCGAAGUCUGAUAAGAAUCGGUUACAAUCUACUCUCUCUGAAGCCUGCAACCUGGAGGCUUCAGCUGCAUGAUAAAACUUUGGUCUCCACAUCUCUUAUCGCAACCUAGACAUUACCUUUCUAUUGAUCCCAGGUCUUUAGAUAAACUCAACCCAUUGUCGACUAGAAAACAUUCUAAAUCUACCUAUAAACUGGAACUAACAACCCCCCUCCUUUGAGUUGUCCCGCCUUUCUGGACUGAACCAAUGUAUUUCUGAAAUGUAUUUGAUUGAAGUCUCAUGUCUCCCUAAAAUGUAUCAAACCAAGCUGCACCCUGACCACCUUGGGCACAUACAUGUUCUCAGGACCUCCUGAGGGCUGUGUCACUCAUAUUUGGCUCAGAAUAAAUCUCUUCAAAUAUUUUA
rnacentral:lncRNA from 1 species